rnacentral:rRNA from 1 species
AGCGAACGCUGGCGGCAGGCCUAACACAUGCAAGUCGAACGAACUCUUCGGAGUUAGUGGCGGACGGGUGAGUAACACGUGGGAACGUGCCUUUAGGUUCGGAAUAACUCAGGGAAACUUGUGCUAAUACCGAAUGUGCCCUUCGGGGGAAAGAUUUAUCGCCUUUAGAGCGGCCCGCGUCUGAUUAGCUAGUUGGUGAGGUAAAGGCUCACCAAGGCGACGAUCAGUAGCUGGUCUGAGAGGAUGAUCAGCCACAUUUGGACUGAGACACGGCCCAAACUCCUACGGGAAGCAGCAGUGGGGAAUCUUGCGCAAUGGGCGAAAGCCUGACGCAGCCAUGCCGCGUGAAUGAUGAAGGUCUUAGGAUUGUAAAAUUCUUUCACCGGGGACGAUAAUGACGGUACCCGGAGAAGAAGCCCCGGCUAACUUCGUG